GGUGUACCGCGGAUUAAAAUCUAG
rnacentral:siRNA from 1 species